UGUGAAUAUCCUGUCUUCUGCAAAUGUAAUUGCUGUCUGACAUUCUGUAAUGUGCACAAAGUUGGCGUUAUGGACUGCAUUAUGUGUCAUUACAAUGGCAUCCACUUAAACAAUUACUGUCAAACCAUGUAAACCCAACUGCAGUAGGACUCCCUUAAAUGGAUCUGGCGAUGCAACAGGUGCUCUAAUUACUUUAGUGUGAAAGAACCCUUUUAAGUGAGGUUGUAUUUAACACUACUGCCACGUUGCACUUCCAGGAUGG